rnacentral:rRNA from 1 species
CAGCAGCCGCGGUAAUACGGAGGGUGCGAGCGUUAAUCGGAAUAACUGGGCGUAAAGGGCACGCAGGCGGUUAUUUAAGUGAGGUGUGAAAGCCCCGGGCUUAACCUGGGAAUUGCAUUUCAGACUGGGUAACUAGAGUACUUUAGGGAGGGGUAGAAUUCCACGUGUAGCGGUGAAAUGCGUAGAGAUGUGGAGGAAUACCGAAGGCGAAGGCAGCCCCUUGGGAAUGUACUGACGCUCAUGUGCGAAAGCGUGGGGAGCAAACAGGAUUAGAUACCCCCGUAGUCCCUGUCUCUUAUAC